rnacentral:rRNA from 1 species
AACCCGCCUGUAUGAAGUUGGAAUCGCUAGUAAUCGCGGAUCAGCAUGCCGCGGCGAAUACGUUCCCGGGCCUUGUACACACCGCCCGUCACACCAUGAGAGUCGGGAACACCCGAAGUCCGUAGCCUAACCGCAAGGAGGGCGCGGCCGAAGGUGGGUUCGAUAAUUGGGGUGAAGUCGUAACAAGGUAUC